ensembl:snRNA U2 U2 spliceosomal RNA
AUAAAUUUUUUUCAAAUGGAAAAAAAAAAAAAAAAAAAAAAUCUGUUCUUAUCAGUUUAAUAUCUGAUACGUCCCCUACCCGGGGACCAUAUAUUAAAUUGAUUUUUGGAACUGGGAGAUGGAAAAGGGGCUUGCUCCGUCCACUCCACGCAUCGACCUGGUAUUGCAGUACCUCCAGGAACGGUGCACCCCCU